ensembl:lncRNA
GAAGGAGGGGAGGAGCCUCUUCCGUUCAUCUACUAACUAAUUGGCUAUCGAAGGAGGGGAGGAGCCUCUUCCGUUCAUCUACUAACUAAUUAGCACCACUCGACCACUAAUCGGUUUCCGGAUCACGCAGGAGAGAGGACAGACUUUUUCCCAAAUGAGAAAAGGCCGUCCAUACAUACAUAGAAGAGUCUGUCCUUCUAGCGGUUGAUACUCAGAGAGAUACUAGUCUCUCUGAGACCAGAGGGACAGGUCAGUAAAACACAGAACAAUAAGGGACGAAAAUAGCUUUGAAUAGCUUUUCCCUGAAUAGGAGAAACUCUGGGGCUCCACGCUCACGUCGCUGACUGUCUGUGUAGGAAAACAAUAUGGCCACCCUGCAGUGAGAAGAGAACACCACUCAGCCUGACAACCAGGCUUCAUUGGGUGAGUCUGGGACUACGUCCUAAAUGGCACCCUAUUCCCUACAUAGUGCACUACUUUAUACCAGAGCUCUAUGGGCCCUGGCACCCUAUUCCCUAUAUAGUGCACUACUUUAGACCAGAGCCCUAUUCCCUACAUAGUGCACUACUUUAGACCAGAGCCCUAUGGCACCCUAUUCCCUACAUAGUGCACUACUUUAGACCAGAGCCUGUGUAGGGAAUAGGGUGACGUUCACUGUCUGCACUGGAAACUGGUGCAGAGAGGAGAGGAGGAGAGAGAGAAAGGAAGGAAAGGAGGAGAGAGAGAAAGGAAGGAAAGGAGGAGAGAGAGAAAGAAAGGAAAGGAAAGGAGGAGAGAGAGAAAGAAGAAAGGAAAGGAGGAGAGAGAGAAAGGAAGGAGAGGAAAACUGGCAGGCAGACUGGAUGACUCUGGGGAGAAGAGAGGAGGGAGGGAGGGGAGAAGGAGGGAGGGAGAUGGGAGGUAAAGAACAAGGAGGGAGGGAGAUGGGAGGUAAAGAGGAAGGGAGUCUGGAGAGAAUGCAAAGUGAGGGAGAUGGAUAGAUGUAAAGUGGAAGAGAGGGAGAAGGGAGAGUGAGGAGAU